GUGUUCUUCAUGACAAAAAUUGCUUUAUAUCAAAGGAAAUAUGUUUUUGAUUUACUUAAGAAAAUAGGAUUUGAAGGUUGCAAACCAGCCACCACUCCUAUUGAUUAUGGAACAAAACUUAGUAAAGGUGUUGGAGAAUUGCUCACUGAUUCUAGUCAGUACAGAAGGAUUGUAAGCAAACUUUUAUAUAUAUCCAAUACUAGACCUAAUAUAAGCUAUGUCAUUAGAAAGCUAAGCUAGUUUUUAGAUUGUGCUACUAAUGAACACUUGAAGGCAGCGCAUAGAGUGCUGCAUUAUAUAAAGAGUUCUCUUGCUAUAGGUCCAUUCUUCUCUACAGAUUUUGAUUUACAUCUUACAGAUUUUUCUGAUUUUGAUUGGGUUGGUUGUGUUUAUUCUAGAAGAUCAAUCUCUGCAUAUUGCUUUUAUCUAGGACCAUCAUUGGUUACUUGAAAGAGUAAAAAACAAUUAACACUUGCAACCUCCUCUUCAGAACCAGAAUAUCGAGCUUUAGCUCUAGUCACCUGAGAAGCUCAAUAGCUGAGCUAUAUUCUCCAAGAUCUUAGUGUUCCAAUCACAAAAGUCUAUUAAUUUGUAUUGUGAUUUUCUGCUGCUAAUUCA